CUUGAUAUAAUUACUAAUAAUAAAGGUAAGUCUUAUUUGGCAUUGCCUUAUAUGUUCCAAGGUUGGAGUUUUGUGUUCCAAAGCAACGGUUCAAGAUUCAGAUACCCAGAUAACAUCCUAAAGGAAUAUUCCAGGUACUCUAACCAUUACUUCUCAUAAAAAUUGGUAACAGUGACAGAUGUCCCUUGGCACCAUACCACCAAUCCGUGUGAAACCAUUUUUGAAUAGUUUCAUUUUGAACUCUGUGUCCCUGGCUGUCCACAGACCAACCCCGACUUGAGAUAUGCCUAUAUAACACUGUUCUUUAUUCCUGACCAAUCACUGCUUUCACUUGCUGCUCGGACUAAUGCUUCUUCAUUCCCCUAGCAGCACAAAGGGGUCGAACUACCUCGGGCUCUCCGUUAGCAUUAAAUCGUUCAAAAACAAUUUAACAUUGAAUUGAAGGCCUGCAUCAGUGGACUCCAAGCACUAUAACCACUUCGAUAAGAUGAGGCAGUAACUGUGCCUAGAAUGUUUCUUUAAAGUAGUCUCCAGAGUGAUUCAGCAUACAUGAAGCUAGAAUAAAGGACAGCAAUUCCAGG